GUGUAUUUUAUAAUUAUUCUCCAAUUAGAUUUGGUUUAAUGAGUUACAGGAGGAGGAGAAUGGGAUUUCUGGUUAGACUAGAGGGAACAGCAUGCAGGGUUAUGUUUUGAAUUGGGAAACAUUUUAAGCUUUCUUAUUAAAUAAAAUCAGUCAUUAUAUGUAUCCACAGCAGCUGGAAGAGUGUAGAGAGAAUGUUAUUCCAAGAAUCAGAUGCCAUGUUCCUUCUUUGCAGGAUUUCCCCAACUUUUGGAAAGGCUACAGCUCAUAUGCAAGUGCAAAAUGCUGUCUGGAGAAGACAUGCUGGAAAGGGAGAGAGAAGGAGUUGACAUGUUAUUGGCAUGGAGUCAAUAAUGCAAAGGGCACACAAAUUAGCCACACCCCUCAGUGGAAUCCUUUCCUACCAAUGGCAGAUGGUGAUCACAGAACACAGUUUUGCCACAACCUAAGAAGGAGAAGAUGGCUGAAAUCAACAUGCACUGCAAGAACCUGGGAUUCAUCUCCUUUAAUGGGGUCAAAGAAGGAAGAAAUUGCUCCUGGAAGCUCACAUGGAUGUUGUGACAUGAGAGGCUUGCAGACCACACCCCACCACCAUGUCCUUCCUACUGUGCCUCCAAAUGUCCUGCCAGCCAUGAGGUUUGGUGGAAAGCAGCUUUUGUCCUUCCAUCCAAAGGCAGUGGUGGCCCAUCAGAAAAGCAAGGAUCCAAGUUCUUCAUUUUCCUGAUAGCUCAGUCUGGAGAGAUGCAGGAUCCUCAUCUCCUUACCAUCCAAUAUGAGACUGAUACAAGUAAACAUACACCGCACCAUUUAAGUCUUCUUUUUUUCCUAUUUUUCUCUGAAAACAAAACAAAACAAACAAAAACCAAGUCAGGCUACCUAUCUGAACCUGUUUUUUUGUUUUUUGUUUUUUGUUUUUUUUAAUCUGCAAAAUUAGAGGAUUGCAAAAUUUUUGAAUUUUUUAAUCUGCAAAAUUUCUUGAAAAUUCUCCUAUGAGAGCUAUUUCUAAUGCCCUAUUUCAUUUCAUAUAAAAUAGUCAGAGGCCACAGGAAGAGAAGGAAACACAUUAUUUCCACUGAUGGGCCAUCAAAUAAGAAGAGUAAUGAGGAUUUGGGUGCAGUGUGCACAACAAGCCUGACUUACAGACACAAGAUGCCCAAUUAAAUGGUGGCCUUCCCAAGGUCACAGCCUCCUUCCUGGUGGUGUCACCUCUCCCCUCAGCUCCUGGUACUCUAUAAUGCCAUGUGUGUCCUGGACUCCCUGACAGCUAUUGACUUAUCUCUUCACAGACUUUGUUUAUUUUUCUCCAAGUUGGAUUAUAGACCUAAGGCCCAAGCGGGUGGAGACACAAGAUUGCCAUAGAUAUUUGCGUUCAUUCUUUUCUCAUCAUCACUGUUUAGACCAGCACGUCUGGUGAACGUGAAAUUUAUGAAGAGCUGCCCUCCUUUUGGCUGCCUGGCUUCCUUGCUCACAGUCGGGCCGCCUUAGGAUGUUGAUUUUUGUUCUUUUGCCAUUGUUUCCAGGCUCCCUAUUUCUAAUUUCUUUUUUCAGAGGCUGACGCAGUUAUUUCCACCCCAAGUGCUUGGCCCCGCUCUCCAGCUCAGGGCUUCGUAACCCAUGGCAACAAGAGAAGGGAAGCAGGUGAUCGCAUACCACACACACACACACACACACACACACACACACACACACACACAAACUCGCAUGCACCAUAUUCUCCCCAACCCCCUUCUUUGACUCUGGCAGUCCUGCAUGGGGCCCACAAAGGGAGGAGGCUUUCCUGGCUGCAGUGCCAAUUAGACACACAGGCCUCAUGGUGCUGGGCGCUCAGGACUUCCGGGUCACAAUGCAGCAGCUGCGGUGGAGCAGCAUAGUCUCGCCUUCUGAGUGCUCCAACUCCUCGUAUUUCUCUGGGGCAGGAAAGUAAAAUCCGACCUUGCACACACACAAAUGCCUUCACAACAGUUCAUUUUCUGCUAGCUGGGAACCUUAUUUUAUGUCAUCAUGGCGAUUGGCAGAAUUAUGCCUGUUAGUAAUAGGCACAACUACUUACAUGUAUUUACGGUAAGGAGACAUUUUUUUCACAUGGUUUUACAAAGGUAAAUGAUAAUUAAGUUAUUUAAAAGCUAAACUCUCACUCCUCUGCCUCCAUCCCAUAUUUACGAGUCCUGGGAAGCUUCAAACCAGUUCAACAAUUUUCUGUUCCUUGCCAAAUUUUCUAGCUGGUUUUACCAAAGGAUUGAAGGAAUCAAGGGAUGGACUUAGGCUCAAGUGAUAAAAAUCCCUUUUCUAUCCACAGGCUAGAAAUACAUGAUGAUUGCAUUCUUAUCUGACUUGAUCAAGACUGGUAGUAGUAGGUUAACAAAAGAGCCAUUUGAAGUGUGGCAUCAGAAAAAGUGACACAUAUAAAACCAGGUAACAUUUUCUUUCUAUUUAAAAUUUACAAAUAUACAUUUAUCUCCCAUGCUUUUGAUGUAGGGCCAAGGUCUGAUGCUUGGAGUCCAAGUCACCUUUCUUGUAUAAGCUACAUCCACAACACAUCAUCAACAACUUCCAAUUUUAAUUUCUUAGUGCUGUAAGAAUUUAAAGACGCUUGGGAAGCCCAGAAUCUGUCUAGUUUUUAAUGUCCUGCCCCUGAUACAUUACAACAGUUUCAUUCUUACCUCAUUUACUCAAAGCAAAGUAACUUGCCUUAUUGUUUCCAAACAAUUCAACUUAUUUUUCAUUUAAACCACUUUAUUUCCUUUUGCAUUCAUAUUGCAUUGAUUUAUAUAUUCAACAAAAUUAUGAAUUACAAAACAAAUGGAACUGACAAAAACUGGUUUGGGAAUAAACACAAGUGCUCUUGAUGGGUUGGAUAUGCAACUGGCGGGAGCAGAGGUGUGUGGACAUUGAAGAGAACAGCAGAGAGCAUUACAAAGCAACUAGGAGCUUUUAGCCCUUCCAGCGCAUGCCAGUUGGAUGUGAUCACACAUCUUAGACCCACUAGAAUGUGACUCCUAAUAUUGGAAAGCUAAUAUCAGCAUGGCACUAGGCAGCUUCUUUCACUGAUCUCCUCCACACACAUGCUCCUGAACCUAUAUCUUCAUCCCUCAGAUCAGUUCUUUAUAUUUUACAUUUGGACACCUCCGUUUGUCCCAUUUGCCCCUCAAAUUCAGUAUGUCUGAAAGCAAGCCAUUCUCUUCUUUUGAGAUAGAGUAGAACCUGCUGAUUUUGCCCUUAGGAUUCCUUCAUCAAAUGAAAUAUGAAAUAUGAAGAAAGGAAGCCAAGAUGAGGGCCCAGGGCCCAACCUCCUUCAUGCCCUUCUAGAGUAACCCCGGGACCUUCUGAGGAUCUCCAGAAUUCUUCAGAACACAGAUUGAAAACCUCUGGAAUAGGUACACAGCAUAGGCUUUGGAGCUAGCCAGAGCUGAGUUCCAACAAGCACUGUGUCACAUUUUAUCUGUGUGAAUUUAAGCAAAUUGGUUAUUAUCUGAGUCCCAGUUUCCUCAGAAACAAAGUGGGAAUAAUAUAGUUACCAAUAAAAAUUGUGAACAUAAGAUGAAAUGGUGCCCGAAAAGCACUUGACAUGCUGAGGUGCUCGACAGUGUCUGCAGAUCAGUUCAUUGCUUUGAUGGUCUGUUUGUCUAAUGAUACCCAGUUCACAAGGUUUUCAGUCUCAGUUAACACCGACUUUUUCUUCCUCUUGGACCACAGCCCUCCUACUGUAUCCCACUAGUCAUUUGGAGAGCCUUUGAGGGAGGCAAUGCCUCGGGCAAAAGCGCAAGUCUGUGCCCUUUACCACUUGAGCAUAAGUGCAUUAAGUACUGCAUUUUCUAUCACCUUAACAUGUAACCCUUACUUUUACUUCCAUUUCAUUCCUAUUGUUAUCACUCUAGUUCAUGCCUCCAUUGUCCUCUAACUUCCUGCUAAUCUGUACCCAUGCAUUCAGCCUACACAUUGAUGACCAAUGACCUUCUUGCAUCACAGAACUCAUUGGGCAGAUGGUGCUGAGAGUCCCUCAGUGGUACCCAGGGGUAUACCACAUAAAGUCCCUAUGGCUGAGGUUAGCAUUCAAAGUGUUUCAAGCUUUAGCCUCUUGUCUUUGACCACUUUGCCACCCACAUCUUUUGUCCAACCAAAGCGACUCCUCUCUGUUCUCAGAAUACAGAAAUCUCAUUCUUCCUCAAGUCUGUGACCUUGCCUGAGGCAUUCCCUCCCUCGAAUGUUCUCCUUCCAUCUGGCUGUUUAAGUUUCACCAAGAUUUCAAGCUGAAGUGGCACUCGUUUUUUAAAUAAUGUUUCAUCUUUUCCUGUUUUAAACACCCUCCCCUUACUCUGUCCUCCAAAGUUUAUACCAGUCUUCCUGAAUUGUUAUUGUUUAUAUGAGAUUGUCCCCCUCAUGAACCUGGCUUAGAACCUUGCCGUAGUAAGCUUCAGAAGAGGUAUCUUGGGUAAAAACUUUUUGAUGGAUAAAAUCUCAAUAUAAUAGGUAAGAUCCAGAUGAGGAAACAAAAACAAAAGCAGAUACCAAGCCUCACCGUGGGUUUGUAGUGUAC
rnacentral:lncRNA from 1 species